GCGGCUGCUGGUCGGGACGUUCGUCGCUCUGUUCUUCAACCUGCUGACUCUGCUCUCCGUCAGGAACAAACCCUUCUCCUACGUCUCUGACGCCGCCAGCAGCAGCUGGCUCCAGGAACACGUGGCCGACCUGAGCCGCAGUGAGAUGUCCCCAUUCAACCCGAACACAGUCUGGGGGCCAACUGGGUUACGUAAAGCCUGCUGCUCUGUUGGCCUCACCAGCCACAAGCCUGAAAUCUCUCUGCUCUGCUCUGUGCGUGCACGUGGGCGUGCACGUGGAAGUUGCUGUUGGGGAGGACAGACAUCCAAUUUUAAAAAAAGGAAACAAACGUUUUCUCUGGCAGGAAUAGAAAUAACAUCACAGUGUCUGACAGUUCCUGCUAACAGAGUGGAUUAAAUUUAGAACUGAUUAAUUAUUUCUCUGUAGCAGAAAUAUGAAAUCACUUUCAACAAUAAGAAAACACAAGAUAAUAAAAUCCAAACUAGAGCUGCAGACCUGUUGGCUGAAUCGAACCUGGUCCUUCAUGUCCAGCCAGUCGUCCAGGUUCCCUAAGAUGCUAGCCUAGCAUCAGGUUAGCAUGGGGAUGCUACGGCUAACACGCUCAGGAAGCUUCAGUUCAACAAUUUCAUGAUGGAACUGACUGAGUUAGAAAACCCAGUCCUGUCUGGACCUGCAGGUCAGCCGGGCCUCACAGCUGAAGCCUGAACAAGUCAGAGGAAGUUGGACUCUGAUGCUUUAGCAGCACGGCGCGAGAUGUAGCGGUUUGGUAGCUACGACCUUUCACCACUCCAUGUUUUCACCAUGUUUUCACCACUCCAUGUUUUCACCACUCCAUGUUUUCACCA